CCUACGGGUGGCAGCAGUGAGGAAUAUUGGUCAAUGGACGAGAGUCUGAACCAGCCAAGUAGCGUGAAGGAUGACGGCCCUAUGGGUUGUAAACUUCUUUUAUCUGGGAAUAAAAUGAUCCACGUGUGGGCUUUUGUGUGUACCCUAUGAAUAAGGAUCGGCUAACUCCGUGCCAGCAGCCGCGGUAAUACGGAGGAUCCGAGCGUUAUCCGGAUUUAUUGGGGUUAAAGGGGGCGUAGGUGGAUGUUAAAGUCAGCGGUGAAAGUGUGGGGCUAAACCGUGUACUGCAGUUGAAACUGGGAGUCUGGAGUGCAGGAGAGGUAGGCGGAAUGCGUGGUGUAGCGGUGAAAUGCUUAGAUAUCACGCAGAACUCCGAUUGCGAAGGCAGCUUACCGGAGUGCAACUGACGCUGAGGCUCGAAAGUGUGGGUAUCGAACAGGAUUAGAUACCCUUGUAGUC
rnacentral:rRNA from 1 species